CUUCAUCGACGAGGACCACUGUGGUCAGCGCGGAUGGCAUUUUACUUGUUUUCGUCCAUUGAGCCCCAGCUGAACAGGAGCAUCUUCUCUUCAAUUUCUUAGGUUGGGGACUCCGAGAAAGGGCAUCCACACUGGAAGCAAAUCUGCGAGCUCCGCUUGCAUAUUGCAACACUCUCCUAGCUUCUUUGGGGUCAAUUAAGUCGUCGACAUCGGGACAAAAUGACAGAGCCACUCGGAAGCAUGUAUUGGACCAAAAAUAGAGUUAGCAAUUUGAUCACAGAGAUUCUUGUAUUCAAGCAAAAGUAAUAUAAAUAAGGGAUUGAC
rnacentral:lncRNA from 1 species